AGGACGAACGCUGGCGGCGUGCUUAACACAUGCAAGUCGAGCGAUGAACUCUCUUCGGAGGGGGAUUAGCGGCGAACGGGUGAGUAACACGUGGGCAACCUGCCCUCAGCUCUGGGAUAACUCCUCGAAAGAGGGCUAAUACCGGAUACGACUUCCCCUGGCAUCUGGGGAAGUGGAAAGUUUUUUCGGCUGAGGAUGGGCCCGCGGCCUAUCAGCUUGUUGGUGGGGUAAUGGCCCACCAAGGCGACGACGGGUA
rnacentral:rRNA from 1 species